rnacentral:misc_RNA from 1 species
AAUAAUAUACAAAAUUAAUUUUCAAUCAUUAAUUAAACCUUAAACAACGGAUGUCUUGGCUCUUUACACGAAGAAGAACAUUGCAUAAUGUGAUAAGCGACUAGAUUAGCUCAAUUUGUGAUAAGUUCGAUCUUUGAAUGCAUAUUGCGUAUUUAUUAAUUUAUUAAUAAAUACAUAUAUAAUUUAGUAACAAAUAAUAAUUAAUUAAUCAUUUUA